AGGGCAUUGCAAGGUUGGAUACAGUGAGGCUGGGACUGUCUUUAGCUUUCUGUGCCUCCCUUGGGGGAAGGCUACCAGGAGCUCUCUGAGACCCAAACUGUACAGCAGCAUGAAUAUAGGAUGAAAUUAUUUCUUCAGAAAAAAAGUACAUUUAUAAAGGUACCGAGGAAGGAUAAACUGUGAAGAUCAGACAGUGUUAUGGCGACAAGCAUACAGAUGUGCCUUGAUCCCACCCCUAGAGGAAACAGUCUUUUAUCCUUGCCCUUAGCUUAUAAGAACUGCAGUGAAGCCCAUUUUCUUCACUACUGUGUUCACAGGCUGUGCAUUUGGAUCAGCUGCUAUUUGGCAGCUUGAGCCACUGAAGUCCAAGGUGCAGCAUUGUGUUGAUGUCAUAAAGCUAUUUGGCUGGAUAGCAUACGGGCACAAAAAGAAGUAGACCUCAGAAAGGAGAUUAACACACAGUGCAAUAGCCUAGGUGAUGGCGAGAAGACUGUGACAGGCAUCAUAGCUGCAGACGCCCUUGUAUUCUGCUUAUGGAGAGUGUGGUUUCUGCGUCUGACCAUGUCAGAUGUUUCACAUUCAAACCCACAAUCUAGGGUCCUUUGGUCUCCAAUAUGGCUGUCGAUGUUCAGUCAUUUCUUCUUAUUCCACAUGGCACAAAUAUAUGUGUUGUGUGGAACUUCUCAUCCAGCAUUGUGAACAGGCUGGUUCAAGAGCAGUUUGUGCCUGUGUGCCUGUCUGAAUGUUUCCCUCCAAUUUUGUCAAUUAUGUGUGUAAAGUUGCCACAGGAAGAUAAGGACCUACAGUUGGCACAUUGGGAACAAUCAUGACAAUUCAUGCUGCCAUCUGCACCAAGAUCUCGGAGGGGAGGCUCACUAUCGUCUUCCUCCCCGUUUUCACCUUCACGGUAGGCAAUGCCUUAAAAGCCAUCAUUGCCAUGGAUACACCUGGGGUGAUCCUGGGAUGGAAACUUUUGACUCUGGAGCUGCAUCAUGGCGAGCUCUCUUAGGAUAUGGUAUAUCAUGUAUUGUCAUGAAUUCAUUUGGAAGAACAGGGAGCCUCUAGUGAAAGUCUGGUAUAAAAUAUACUUCU
rnacentral:lncRNA from 1 species